AAGAGAGAUCUUGCUGUAGCUACAAAGUCUAAUCUAUUCCAGUGCUCAUUCCUCUAUGAGACAGCCAUUAUGUAGACUUAGUGAAA
rnacentral:snoRNA from 1 species